rnacentral:rRNA from 1 species
ACUCAAAGGAAUUGACGGGGGACCGCACAAGCAGCGGAGCGUGUGGUUUAAUUCGAGGCUACACGAAGAACCUUACCUAGGUUUGACAUCUUACUGAAGCUCUUGUGAAAGCGAGGGUGUCCCGCAAGGGACAGUAGGACAGGUGCUGCAUGGCUGUCGUCAGCUCGUGCCGUGAGGUGUUCGGUUAAGUCCGCAAACGAGCGCAACCCUCGGUGCCAGUUACAAGUGUCUGGCGCGACUGCCCGUGGCAAACGGGAGGAAGGUGGGGAUGACGUCAAGUCAGCAUGGCCUUUAUAUCUAGGGCUACACACACGCUACAAUGGCGCGUACAAUGGGUCGCGAAGCUGCGAAGCGGAGCCAAUCCUAAAAAGCGCGUCUCAGUUCAGAUUGUAGGCUGCAACCCGCCUGCAUGAAGUUGGAGUUGCUAGUAACCGCGCGUCAGCAGAGUGCGGUGAAUACGUUCCCGGUCCUUGUACACACCGCCCGU